AAGGUGUGUUUUCUCUAGUGGCUGCAGGUGCCGAAAAAAAAACCCAAAAAACCUUUAGGGUGUAUGAACUUGAUGUUUUAUAGUUUUUCGUCCUAGUUUACGGUAGUUGUUCAUGGAAGUGAGUUUCAAUGGGUACACCCACUUGGUUGUGGCUACAUAGAAAUAUUACAGGUGAAAGUUAAACACAGGUGCUCUCUAAUAGAAGCCUAUGAUCUCAAACUGAGACCAUUGAUUUGACGUUAAAAAGGAUAUGUAAGCAACUGAGCAAACAUUGAAGAAAUACAUAAAGUACUAUCAUUGUUUAAGUGCAAAGCCUUCGUCUAUUCUUUAAGUGGUGAGUGAAGGGGAGAUGUGUGAAUUGGAUGGUUGGACAGGGUGAAAAAAAAUCAGUUUUAUGAAGGUUGGGUUUCAAGAGCUGCUUGAGUGAAAGAAAAAGGAGAAGGCUUAGUGAGAGAAGCCUGGGGUAGGUUAUCCUAAGCAGAAGAGGAAGUUCAAAUAGCAAGGAGAUCAUUAUGUGCAACAAUGGGAGAGAGUAGAUGGAGGGGGUGAGGGGUGGGGAGUAAAAGGACAGAUAAUGAACAAAUGGGCCUGACCAGACUGGAAGAAUUUCUGCAAUACAGCAC
rnacentral:lncRNA from 1 species